AACGAACGCUGGCGGCAUGCCUAAUACAUGCAAGUCGAGCGAACAGAUGAAGUGCUUGCACUUCUGACGUUAGCGGCGAACGGGUGAGUAACACGUAAGGAAUCUACCUAUAAGCGGGGGAUAACAUUCGGAAACGGGUGCUAAUACCGCAUAAUAUCUUCUUCCGCAUGGAAGAAGAUUGAAAGACGGCUCUGCUGUCACUUAUAGAUGACCUUGCGGUGCAUUAGUUAAUUGGUGGGGUAAUGGCCUACCAAGACGAUGAUGCAUAGCCGACCUGAGAGGGUGAUCGGCCACAUUGGGACUGAGACACGGCCCAAACUCCUACGGGAGGCAGCAGUAGGGAAUCUUCCGCAAUGGGCGAAAGCCUGACGGAGCAAUGCCGCGUGAGUGAAGAAGGCCUUCGGGUCGUAAAACUCUGUUAUAAGAGAAGAACAAAUUGUAGAGUAACUGCUACAGUCUUGACGGUAUCUUAUCAGAAAGCCACGGCCAACUACGUGCCAGCAGCCGCGGUAA
rnacentral:rRNA from 1 species